rnacentral:rRNA from 1 species
AUGGCGGAGUCGACGACGAGCAUCGGCGGGUACAUGGCGUCGGGGUACCGGAGGGUGGCUGGCGUGCAGCUCUACAUCAACCACCUCAAGCCCGCCCGCCUCGGCGACCGCAUCGAGGCCAAGGCGAACCCCAUCCGGUACCUCGACCCCGACGCGUACUUGGACAAGCUGCUGGACGCGGUGCAUUGGAUCCGGCAGGCGGUGGGGCUCGCCUGCGGCCUGCUCUGGGGCGCCGUCCCCCUCGUCGGCGCCUUCUGGAUCGCCCUGACAGUCCCUCCCUCCCUCCAUCCUCAAAGCCCCAACCUUCUUCUUUCCCUUCAGACAUAG